UUCUUCAUUCAAGACGAAGCAAUCGCCUCAAAUCUCUUGUAGCCGAAUCGUCGAACACUUUGCGUGCACUAUCUUGUCUCUUGUUGUUAAAAAAAGAAGGUACGGGCAGAGAUCUAGGAGAAGGGGACAUGGAAAAAGCCGAUCCGGCGUAAAUAUCUGAAACACCCCUUCCCACCAUCCGGAUCUGUUUGGGCACCAUUUCUGGGCUUUCAGGACCAAUUCU
rnacentral:lncRNA from 1 species